AUAUGUUUUUUUAAUUGUUUAAAGAUAUUGAAACACUUCUCAUUAAGUGUACUUGAGUUUGAGUAAUACUGAGUUGGGUGGCCUCCUGGGAAGUUCAAAUAUAAAAGCUUAUA
rnacentral:rRNA from 1 species